rnacentral:lncRNA from 1 species
ACCGGUUCUAUUUUCCUACAUGGUAUCAUGAGUAGUUUAUGUUUAGAUCCUAUACCACAAAUUCUAAAGGUUUUGCUUCUACGCGCGUGCUCCUUGGGAGAUAACCCACCAAGGUAGCACACCACAUACCUAGGGCUCAUGUCACCAAUCUCGUUGCUCGGUCUGUAGAGAAUUCUUUUCCGAUCGCUGAUGGGAAUUUCUCUCACCGAUUGGUUGAUUUAUGUUUAUUUUUUUCUGAUCUAUUUUUUUUCUGAUCUAAAAUCAAAUUGUGUCACCCACUUCCCAUUAUAUUUGUUUGCCUCUACUUCGAAGUUGGCAUCGACAACACUAGUUUGGUCCCUUCUAUUAUCUCGUGUGGCAUGGCCAAGUUCGUGGACGUCCAGGGAAUUCCCUCGACUGUUGUUGCCUCUUCAUUUCAUCCACACGUCUUCAUCAUAUGUUCAUCUUUUGCGUCAUAUAUCAAGAUGUCUUCACCAUGACCUUCUGGUCGUCAUCUCUGAUCUCGCAUGAAACCGGUCUGACCAAUGGGCGUCCACCAUGGCCUUGCAGUCAUCAUCUUUGAUCUUGUGUGCAACCGGUCAGAUUCUAUUCGCAUACAAGAACAAAGAUGUGCAGGCUAUAUAUUGGUAUCUCAUGGUUUCUGCAUGUACAUCCUUGUAAUUACAAUGCUUCAAACUUCAGAUUAUUCUUGUACGGAGGAUCAAUUAGCAAUGGACAACACAUGGAUUCUACCUAGGAACUGCAGUACAAGAAUCAAGAUGACAACAUGC